AACGAACGCUGGCGGCAGGCUUAACACAUGCAAGUCGAACGCAUCCUUCGGGGUGAGUAGCAGACGGGUGAGUAACGCGUGGGAACGUGCCCUUCAGUUCGGGAUGACCCAGGGAAACUUGGGCUAAUACCGGAUACGUGCGAGAGCAGAAAGAUUUAUCGCUGAAGGAUCGGCCCGCGUCUGAUUAGCUAGUUGGUGGGGUAAUGGCCCACCAAGGCGACGAUCAGUAGCUGGCCUGAGAGGAUGAUCAGCCACAUUGGGACUGAGACACGGCCCAAACUCCUACGGGAGGCAGCAGUGGGGAAUAUUGGACAAUGGGCGCAAGCCUGAUCCAGCCAUGCCGCGUGAGUGAUGAAGGCCUUAGGGUUGUAAAGCUCUUUCGUCCGGGACGAUAAUGACGGUACCGGAAGAAGAAGCCCCGGCUAACUUCGUGCCAGCAGCCGCCGUAA
rnacentral:rRNA from 1 species